ensembl:misc_RNA
UGUCCACACAUCCGGAUUUACCUAAACCCCACCCCACCCAGUCUGCAUCUGCAUAGCAAUGAAAAACCGGUAUUUUCUACCUGUGAAUCACACUC